GACGAACGCUGGCGGCGUGCUUAACACAUGCAAGUCGAACGCUGAAGCUCAGCUUUUGUUGGGUGGAUGAGUGGCGAACGGGUGAGUAACACGUGAGUAACCUGCCUCCUUCUUUGGGAUAACGCCCGGAAACGGGUGCUAAUACUGGAUAUUCACUGGUCUUCGCAUGGGGGUUGGUGGAAAGGGUUUUUCUGGUGGGGGAUGGGCUCGCGGCCUAUCAGCUUGUUGGUGGGGUGAUGGCCUACCAAGGCUUUGACGGGUAGCCGGCCUGGGAGGGUGACCGGGCACAUUGGGACUGAGAUACGGCCCAGACUACUAAGGGAGGCAGCAGUGGGGAAUAGUGCACAAUGGGCGCAAGCCUGAGGCAGCGACGCCGCGUGAGGGAUGGAGGCCUUCGGGUUGUGAAACUCUUUCGCUCAUGGUCAAGCCGCAACAAUGGUUGUGGUGAGGGUAGUGGGUAAAGAAGCGCCGGCUAACUACGUG
rnacentral:rRNA from 1 species